GGCUCCCCACGUGGCCUCUCUUGUGGAGACACCAGCUCUGCUCCCUGCUAGCAGAGGAAGACAGUCUGCAUUUCAUAGAUUAGUAAGGACCCUUUGCCCUUCUUUCCUAAUCAGUGGUCAGAAGUGAAAGUCACUGGCUCUUAGUGAUUCAACUUGAGAGCUGGCUUGGCCAGUGGUCCAGGGAAGAGGGUUUAACCACACACCUAAAUGAAUGGGUUUGAUCAAUAAUUAAAUGAGCUGUUUCUGGCAUGAUUGUGAUGGUGAAGCCAUGGUCACGCCGCCCGGUGAAGGAGGCAGUUAGGAGCGGUUUUGCUUGUUCAUGCUGGGUUCAAAAGGGCUUCAGGGAGUCAGAAACUGAGCCAGACAGAAUAAAAAUAAUUUUUAAAGAAGGAAACCAGCCCUACUGAGAGGUAAUGGUGAGAGACUAUAAAGUGUUGCUAAGGGUGGGUUUCUAAACCUCUUUCUCAUACUUGGGAGUUGCCAAACUUAUAAACUUGAGUCCACCUCCCACAAAAGAGACUGAAACUGCCAGGCUCUUGCCUCCUGGCCCUUCCUGGCAUUUAUGGGACCUGAUGGAGACUCUAUCCUUGUGUGCACUAACUUCAGACUCCACUAGAAGUUAAAGACCCAAGAAACAGGCAUCACCAAGAAUCCACCUGCCAAUAGGCAGGACAACAACACUGAGUUUCUAGAAGCAUCUGGGGCAGCAGUCCAAGAAACCUCACAAGCAUACAGGGUUUCAGCACUUUUUGAAUCGGAGGCAAAACACCCCAACGGACAAAGGGAGCAACUGGAUGGAAUACGCUCCUGGCGAAGCUCCUACAGGCUCCUCGGUCCAUGGGAUUUCCCAGGCAAGAAUACUGGAGUGGGUCGCCACUUCCUUCUCCAGGGGAUCUUCCUGACCCAGGGAUGGAACACGAGUCUCUUUCCUCUCCUGCGCCACCUGGGAAGCCCUCUUGGUCAAUAUACUCCAUGUUAUUUGAUGCCUGAUCUUUCAAGGGAAUGAGAAAUAAAGUUUACUUCUUCAUUCUGGCCCUGUCUUCUCUUAGACAUCCUCUUUUACUUAUUUACUAACUCCAUAAUUACUGAGUUCCCAUGAAGGGGCCAAGCUCUGUGUUGGGUCCUGGGGACACGAAGGAAGAGAUGACAUUUUUUUCUGAACUCAGGAAGUUCACUUUCUUGGAUGGGAGGUGGGGAGGGCGUCAGACAUGUAAACAAAAUGCAACACAAUGUAAUAAGCGGAUAUAAUAGAUACACAAAGAAUCCUGGGGGGAGAGAGAGAGGGAUAUAUAUAUGCAUUCAUACAUGAUAUCCGAUGGCAUUAUUAGCUAAAAGAUUCCUGGAACUUUCAGCUACUUUGGCCAAUAAAUCUUUUUGUGUAAGCUAGUUUGCUCCCAGUUUUAGGCAUUUCCAAUAAUACAGGAAUCACAGGAGGGCUGGGUGCACCAGAGAGUAUGUUACAUGCAAUGCCGUGAAAGAACAAGGCCUGUCUUUGGAAUAUUGAGUUAAUUGAUACAACUGCACUUUCAUCAUAUGGUCCAGAUGAUUCUAAACAUGCACAAGAACCCCUGCUUUAAAGAGUACCCAUCUAUUGGUAUCUGACAAAUCCCAAUUUUGAUCCUUCAUUGAAGCAGAUUUUUUCAAAAACUUUAUACAGUUACUCAUCACACUCACCCUAUGGAAAUAAGCUUAAGAAAAUUUAAUCCUAUAUCCUUGGCUUUCAAUACCAAUAUGC
ensembl:lncRNA